UUGUUAUUUCUCCGUCUUCAACGGUUGUCGUGCGAGCUGCGUCGAUGUGUUUGUUUGAUCGUGUGUUAUUAGGUUUGCUGUAAUGAAAUGAGACGUAGUUCGCGAGCACGAAAGUGCCAGAAGAUGGCUUGAGUCUCGCUGUAAGCACGCCGUAUGCGUGGCGCGCCGGCUAAAUGUGGACCAACGAUUUUCAUGCCAUGGAGUGCGUUCCCUUUGUCUCCGCUUGUGUUCGUGGAAAGUUUGGUGGACGGCGCAAAGAAGUAAUGCGUAUUAUUAGCGCGCCUCAGCUCGUCCACUACCCAGUGGCUUGUUUGCUGCAAGUAACAUCGCAGACGCAUCACUGGAAUCUUGGAGAGUGCCUUUCGACCUCGUCGUACUGUUGAAACGGUAAGCAAUCGUGCUCGCCAACUACACGUGCGUUCAUCCGUGUUGUGUGUGCUUUAUAGGCCUCGUGCACUGCAGCUUCAAGCCGCGCAUGUAGCGCCCUCUGUCGCGGGUGACGGCGAUUAUAGGUUGGGGGUGAAUGCGAAGUGGACGCGUUGACAACGUAGGGGAGCAUGGCGCCUCGUCGCGUGGUUGUGAAAACCGGGUCCAGGAAAGGCAAUUCGCCGUAUUGCUGCGUUUAAGGCUGUCACAAAAGCUACAGGAACACUGCUGGAAAAUUGCCGCCGAUCAAAUUCUACCGUUUUCCUUGGAAAUCGUAUGAGACUGAAAGAAGACAGAGGUGGAUCGCAGCUGUCCGCCGAGCAAGCUCAGAGGGAGAGCUGUGGCAACGGAAAAGGAAUGAAACGCGAAUAUGCAGUGUUCACUUCGUGGGAAACGAGAGAAGCAACAUCGCUCAGCACCCAGCGUACAGUCCAACAAUAUUUCCACCUGGCUACAAAACAUGUCUCAGUUAAAACAAGUCACAUGUAUUUAAAAUUAGAAGUGUAUGUUAAUAAAAAAUCAAACCUC